UACGUAGGGUCCGAGCGUUGUCCGGAAUUACUGGGCGUAAAGAGCUCGUAGGUGGUUUGUCGCGUUGUUCGUGAAAACUCACAGCUCAACUGUGGGCGUGCGGGCGAUACGGGCAGACUAGAGUACUGCAGGGGAGACUGGAAUUCCUGGUGUAGCGGUGGAAUGCGCAGAUAUCAGGAGGAACACCGGUGGCGAAGGCGGGUCUCUGGGACGGUACUGACGCUGGAGACGCGAAAGCGUGGGGAGCGAACAGG
rnacentral:rRNA from 1 species